rnacentral:lncRNA from 1 species
AGCGCCCCUCAGCUCACAGUCCCAGCGGCCCGGCUCGGCCGGCCCCUCCCGACCAAGUCUCGUAAUGAUGAAACUCCUGCUCUGGUCCGAGCUACCGGUGAACAGCGCCCAGCGGGCCGGGCCCCAACCUCGCUCCUGAGCCUGAACAUCCCCCCAACCCCGCCGUGAGAAUUCAGCGAAGAGUAAAAGCUGGAAAAAGUUGCGUGUCUCAGGCUAAGCAGAAGAAAGUGGGGUGACGGCUCCCCCGCUAGGAAGAGAGAUGCCCUUAGGGAGCCCCCUGAUGGAAGAGCUCUCCGCUUAAGAAGGUCACCACUCCCUUACACUCAGUUUUACCACAUGCUUCUCAAGACCCAAGGCACAAUAGGCAUAAAGUUGUCCCGAAAAGGACAAGAGGAGUGUUAGAAGUAGGAAUGGCAGUCGAAGGAGCUU